rnacentral:rRNA from 1 species
CAGUCGCCGCGGUAAUACAGAGGAUGCAAGCGUUAUCCGGAAUGAUUGGGCGUAAAGCGUCUGUAGGUGGCUUUUCAAGUCCGCCGUCAAAUCCCAGGGCUCAACCCUGGACAGGCGGUGGAAAAUACCAAGCUGGAGUACGGUAGGGGCAGAGGGAAUUUCCGGUGGAGCGGUGAAAUGCGUUGAGAUUGGAAAGAACACCAACGGUGAAAGCACUCUGCUGGGCCGACACUGACACUGAGAGACGAAAGUUAGGGGAGAAAAUGGGAUUAGAUACCCCCGUAGUCCCUGUCUCUUAUAC